GGAAGCGAACGGGGCCCGGUGGCCCUCCCGGUCUUCAAAAUCGGUCGCUCCCCGCUGAUCGCGGGGGGGCUGGGUUCGACUCCCAGGCGCUUCCGCCA
rnacentral:tRNA from 1 species